GCUGGGUGUGGCGGCACCAGCCUGUAGUCCCAGCUACUCAGGAGGGAGGCUGAGACUGGAGGAUCACUUGAGCCCAGGAGUUCUGGGCUGUAGUGCACUACGCCAGGUGUCUGCACUGAAUUUGUUAUUGAUAUGGUGACCUCCCAGGAGCAAGGGAUUACCAGGUUGCCUAAGAAGAGGUGAACUAGCCCAGGCUGAAAAUGAAACAGGUCAAAUCUCCCAUGCUGAUCAGUAGUGGGAUCAUGCUUUGAAUAGCCACUGAACUCUAGCCUGGACAACAUAGCCAGACCCCGUCUCU
rnacentral:SRP_RNA from 1 species